rnacentral:rRNA from 1 species
AUACGAAAGGGGCUAGCGUUGUUCGGAAUUACUGGGCGUAAAGCGCACGUAGGCGGCAUUGUAAGUUGGGGGUGAAAUCCCGGAGCUCAACUCCGGAACUGCCUCCAAAACUACAAAGCUCGAGGAUGUGAGAGGAGAGUGGAAUUCCAAGUGUAGAGGUGGAAUUCGUAGAUAUUUGGAAGAACACCAGUGGCGAAGGCGACUCUCUGGCACAUUUCUGACGCUGAGGUGCGAAAGCGUGGGGAGCAAACAGGAUUAGAUACCCCAGUAGUCC